GAUAAUUUCAAAUCUUUUUUCAUCAAUCUCAAAAGUAGCCAUUUUCUCAAUGAUCUUCUUGAGCAAGAUAUGUUGCUUGUCAUUAUAACCUUUCACAGAGAGAUACAUCCCAUAGAUGGUAUUUUGGAGAUCAUAGUUCAAGCCAGCUAGUUCUGCUGCAUAUGCAUACUCGUUGAGGGAGUCUUUGAGUAGUUCAAGGUAUAAAUAGGCCAUGUUACAAUGCAAGGGAUCCACG
rnacentral:lncRNA from 1 species